rnacentral:rRNA from 1 species
ACAGCAGCAGCCGCGGUAAUACGUAGGUCCCGAGCGUUGUCCGGAUUUAUUGGGCGUAAAGCGAGCGCAGGCGGUUAGAAAAGUCUGAAGUGAAAGGCAGUGGCUCAACCAUUGUAGGCUUUGGAAACUGUUUAACUUGAGUGCAGAAGGGGAGAGUAGAAUUCCAUGUGUAGCGGUGAAAUGCGUAGAUAUAUGGAGGAACACCGGUGGCGAAAGCGGCUCUCUGGUCUGUAACUGACGCUGAGGCUCGAAAGCGUGGGGAGCGAACAUGAUUAGAUACCCCAGUAGUCCCUGUCUCUUAUACA